rnacentral:lncRNA from 1 species
AUGUCACAAGAUUAAUUUCAAUACAGUGUUGCAUUAACCUUUCACCAAGAUCUUUCUUUAAUGAUGGAAGAGUCUGACCGCUGCAAAAAGCCUUCUCCAGCACAUCCCAAAGAUUCUCAAUGAGACACCACUAUUUCACAAUUCUAGCCCCAUGAGUCCUGGCAUUGUCAUCUUGGAGUAUGCCCAUGCCAUCAGGAAAGAGAAAAAAUCCAUUGAUAGAAUAACCUGCUCAGCAUCCACAGUUUUAAUGCAAGGCAGGGCUUUACAGAGCUUCUGAAGGGACAAAGUGGUGAGCACCAGAUAGAGCAGCAGCGUGGGCCAUGCAGUGAUCAGCAACAUGUUCCAUGUGGCACGGCAGGCUCCUACUGAUCCCCUGCUGUCCCUUACUGACCUCUACUGACCCCUACAGGGUGAGAGGGUGCGUCUGGAGGGAGCAGAGCGGCACAGGAGGAGCCUUACAGUGGAUCUGGCGGCUGGAGGGAACUGGCAACACUUCACAUUAGUCACCGACCAAUCAUCGUUCAUGUCCUCACGUGAGCUUGUAGUUCAUCGUGGCAGAGGAGGGUCUGAUCCAGGCAUAAGUUGAUCAUAAAAUGUUUAUUUAUUACAGGGGACGGCUUGGAAAUGCCCAUAUCUGUGUAAGCUGUGAGGUGAUAUCUUGUGAGCAAGAUCUUUGGCUCUAAUGCUCUCAUGGCAAUGACAUGAAUUAUUGUUAUUAAAUUAAAGUACGAGAUUACGAGUGUCAGAUAGAAGGGACAUUCCAUUGUAACAGUGUUGCAGAUGUUUAACAUUCCACAGUGUGAUCCACGUGUUUACUGAGAAUACUAUAUAAAGAAACCAUUACCACCCACAGUUAAGCCACAUUAUGGUGCAUUUGCAUUUUUCCAUAUGUGAAAACAAACCAGACCAAAGGGGAAAGCACUCAAAGCUUACAAACUUGAAUUAACCUUAAUUAUUAAUUAUUUGCCUUAAUUAUUAAAGGAGCAUUACAUGACAUAAGUGAGGAUUUUUUUUUUACACUAGUAAAGUGUACUUCACAUCAAUCAAUCAAUUAAACUUUAUUUGUAUAUCACCUUUUAUGAAAUUUAAGUUAAAAUAAAAAGAUAAAAAAAUAGAAUUAAUCA